AAGAUUAAGCCAUGCAUGUCUAAGUAUAAGCAAUUAUACCGUGAAACUGCGAAUGGCUCAUUAAAUCAGUUAUCGUUUAUUUGAUAGUACCUUACUACAUGGAUAACCGUGGUAAUUCUAGAGCUAAUACAUGCUAAAAACCCCAACUUCGGGAGGGGUGUAUUUAUUAGAUAAAAAACCAAUGCCCUUCGGGGCUCUUUGGUGAUUCAUAGUAACUUAACGGAUCGCAUGGCCUUGCGCCGGCGACGGUUCAUUCAAAUUUCUGCCCUAUCAACUUUCGAUGGUAAGGUAUUGGCUUACCAUGGUUUCAACGGGUAACGGGGAAUUAGGGUUCGAUUCCGGAGAGGGAGCCUGAGAAACGGCUACCACAUCCAAGGAAGGCAGCAGGCGCGCAAAUUACCCAAUCCCGACACGGGGAGGUAGUGACAAUAAAUACUGAUACAGGGCUCUUUUGGGUCUUGUAAUCGGAAUGAGUACAAUUUAAACCCCUUAACGAGGAACAAUUGGAGGGCAAGUCUGGUGCCAGCAGCCGCGGUAAUUCCAGCUCCAAUAGCGUAUAUUAAAGUUGUUGCAGUUAAAAAGCUCGUAGUUGAACCUUGGGCCUGGCUGGCCGGUCCGCCUCACCGCGUGUACUGGUCCGGCCGGGCCUUUCCUUCUGGAGAACCCCAUGCCCUUCACUGGGUGUGCGGGGGAACCAGGACUUUUACUGUGAAAAAAUUAGAGUGUUCAAAGCAGGCCUUUGCUCGAAUACGUUAGCAUGGAAUAAUAGAAUAGGACGUGCGGUUCUAUUUUGUUGGUUUCUAGGACCGCCGUAAUGAUUAAUAGGGAUAGUCGGGGGCAUCAGUAUUCAAUUGUCAGAGGUGAAAUUCUUGGAUUUAUUGAAGACUAACUACUGCGAAAGCAUUUGCCAAGGAUGUUUUCAUUAAUCAGUGAACGAAAGUUAGGGGAUCGAAGACGAUCAGAUACCGUCGUAGUCUUAACCGUAAACUAUGCCGACUAGGGAUCGGGCGAUGUUUCUAUCUUGACUCGCUCGGCACCUUACGAGAAAUCAAAGUUUUUGGUUCUGGGGGGAGUAUGGUCGCAAGGCUGAACUAAG
rnacentral:rRNA from 1 species